UACGUAGGGAGCAAGCGUUGUUCGGAUUUACUGGGCGUAAAGGGCGCGUAGGCGGCGCGGUAAGUCACUUGUGAAAUCUCUGAGCUUAACUCAGAACGGCCAAGUGAUACUGCUGUGCUAGAGUGCAGAAGGGGCAAUCGGAAUUCUUGGUGUAGCGGUGAAAUGCGUAGAUAUCAAGAGGAACACCUGAGGUGAAGACGGGUUGCUGGGCUGACACUGACGCUGAGGCGCGAAAGCCAGGGGAGCAAACGGG
rnacentral:rRNA from 1 species